UAUGGAGUCUGGUUUGUUGACAUAUGGUUUGCAUUAACAAGUUUAAAAAGCUGUUAUGAUCAGUUUUUAUUUCACUAAAGGCGAAAGGCAUAUGAUACACUGAGGAUUACAUAAUUCCUAUGAAAUCCCUCCUGGCAGCUUUCCGGAACCUUGUCUUUCCACCAUGGUCUACCCGCUUUGUACCUAUAUAUGCCCCUUAUCCAUAAAGGGGUGCUGAAGAUAUCAUUUCUGCCUUACCUACUGUACCAGGAGUGCAGUGGUUACUAGAUACAAUGGAUGUGUCCUUGUCAUCUAGACAGUUCUGGGUAUAAAAAGCUCAUUAUACAAUGUCAUGUACAAGACCAUUAAUCAAAAUAUUAAGAAUGACAGAGCUGAAAAAAGAUUCCAGUGGCAGACGCUAGAAAUAGAAGAACAGUAGAAUCCAUGUUUUUAUAAAUAAAUAGUCUACAUUUAGUCUGGUGCAGUAAUCUGUGAUUGCUUUACUUUAUUGCUAUAAAGAAGAAGUCCAGUGCUAGAGCAUGUUUCAUAACUAACAGGUCAGCUGGUACAAACACUCCCCCUCCAUUCAUCUCUAUGGGAGAGGUGGAGACACAGCAGCUUAGCCAGUGCCGAGUCAG